AGACACUCAACAAUAACAAAUCACUUUCUCCUACUCAGAAUUGUUAUGCUAGUAUUUUUUUUUUUUUAGUCUGAGAGUACAUCACAAAAUUAGGUUUGAUAGAUUCUGUUUUUCGGUGAUGGUAAACAGAAAAAAUGUUGCUGUUGUAUCCUGAGAAUCUAAGCGCUAUGAAACUGUCACACUAUGGAGUGUUUAAAGAUUUAAAGAAGAUUAAUCAUCUCGACUCUGCAAUUCUUCUUUAUUCGCUUGUUUUGGUAUUGUAAAUUUUGACAUAUUUUCUUAUUAUUUUUACAAAUAUCAGUUGUUCCUAUUGUAGUAAAAUAAGGUUCUUACACUUUUAAAUAUUUAAAUAUUUUUUUUUCUUUUGCACUAACAAUACUGAUAUUUGUUAAAAGUUUUAUUUAUAAGAAUAGGUUAAUCGACGGUCUCGAAACAAAAUCUGGAUUUGUGCUUUCUCCACGCAGUUUUGAUAUUGUGUAAAGCUUGUGUUCUUGCGCUAACAUUCCUUUUUGCAGGAUCGCUUGAAUUAUUUUAAAUAUUUCUCAUGCACUUAAGUGUUUCGGUUGUGAUUUGCAUGAUUCAUUGAUUAUUAGCAUUGUUUGCCUCUGGUUAAUAUUGGUGCAACUUG
rnacentral:lncRNA from 1 species